AGCCAUAGCCAUAUCACCCUGCAGCCCAAGACUGGUUGCCCACAGAAGCUAAGCAGGGUUGAGCCUGGUCAGUACCUGGAUGGUAAACCUCCUGGGAAAACUAGUUUGCUGUUGGAA
ensembl:rRNA 5S_rRNA 5S ribosomal RNA